GACAGAGGGUGCAAACGUUGCUCGGAAUUACUGGGCGUAAAGCGCGUGUAGGCGGUCUCGCGAGUCGGGUGUGAAAGCCCGGGGCUCAACCCCGGACGUGCAUUCGAUACUACGAGGCUGGAGUACUGUAGAGGAGAGCGGAAUUCCCGGUGUAGAGGUGAAAUUCGUAGAUAUCGGGAGGAACACCAGUGGCGAAGGCGGCUUUCUGGACCGACACUGACGCUGAUGCGCGAAAGCUAGGGGAGCAAACGGGG
rnacentral:rRNA from 1 species